CACACACAGCACCCCUCACACACAACACCCCUCAGACACACACACAGCAUUCCACACCCUUACACACAAACACAUACACUGCACCCCUCAAUGCAGUAUGUGUGUGUGUAUUCAGCAGUCUGUAUGUGUGUGUAUUCAGCAGUCUGUGUGUGUGUAUGUAUUCAGCAGACUGUGUGUGUGUACUCAGCAGUGUGUAUAUGCAGCAGACUGUGUGUAUGUACUCAGCAGUCUUUGUGGGUGUAUUCAGCAGUCUGUGUGGGUGUAUUCAGCAGUGUAUGUAUUCAGCAGUCUGUGUGUGUGUAUUCAGCAGUCUGUGUGUGUAUUCAGCAGUCUGUCUGUGUGUGUAUUUAGCAGUGUAUGUAUUCAGCAGUCUACGUGUGUGUAUGUAUUCGGCAGUCUGUGUGUGUGUAUUCAGCAGUGUAUGUAUUCAGCAGUCUGUAUGUGUGUAUUUAGCAGUCUGUCUGUGUAUGUAUACAGCAGUGUAUCU